rnacentral:rRNA from 1 species
UGGGGAAUUUUGGACAAUGGGCGCAAGCCUGAUCCAGCCAUGCCGCGUGCGGGAAGAAGGCCUUCGGGUUGUAAACCGCUUUUGUCAGGGAAGAAAUCUUCUGAGUUAAUACCUCGGGAGGAUGACGGUACCUGAAGAAUAAGCACCGGCUAACUACGUGCCAGCAGCCGCGGUAAUACGUAGGGUGCAAGCGUUAAUCGGAAUUACUGGGCGUAAAGCGUGCGCAGGCGGUUUUGUAAGACAGAGGUGAAAUCCCCGGGCUCAACCUGGGAACUGCCUUUGUGACUGCAAGGCUUGAGUGCGGCAGAGGGGGAUGGAAUUCCGCGUGUAGCAGUGAAAUGCGUAGAUAUGCGGAGGAACACCGAUGGCGAAGGCAAUCCCCUGGGCCUGCACUGACGCUCAUGCACGAAAGCGUGGGGAGCAAACAGGAUUAGAUACCCUGGUAGUCACGCCCUAAACGAUGUCAACUGGUUGUUGGGAAGGUUCCUUCUCAGUAACGUAGCUAACGCGUGAAGUUGACCGCCUGGGGAGUACGGCCGCAAGGUUG